rnacentral:rRNA from 1 species
AUUGAACGAUGGCGGCAGGCCUAACACAUGCAAGUCGGGCGAGCGGCGGACGGUUUAGUAAUGUAUGGGGACUGCCUGAUGGAGGGGGAUAACUACUGUAAACGGUAGCCAAUACCGCAUACCAUCAGAUAACCCAUAUGGGCUUAGCUUGUAGGUGAGGUAACGGCUUACCUAGGCGACGAUCCCUAGCUGGUAUGAGAGGAUGAUCGUCGGCACUGGGACAGGGAGACGAGCCAGACUCCUACGGAGGCAGCAGUGUGGAAUAUUGCACAAUGGGCGGAAGCUCGAUGGAGCGAUGGCGGGUGUAUGAAGAAGGCCUUCAGGUUGCAAAGUACUUUCAGUCGGGAGGCGUACGAGACAGAAGAAGCACCGGCUAACUCCGUGCUAGCAGCCGCGGUAAUUC